rnacentral:rRNA from 1 species
GUGGACCCUGCUGUCGGAUCAUUAACG